GUCUAGCCAGGAGGACUGUUCGAGGGAGGGCGGCGAGCGGGCGCGGGUUUGAUUUCUGAGCCCUAUAAAAGCCCAUCCUCCGAUGGCUGUGACAAUGUGGUCGUAAACCCGUCCGGGGCCGGCCAAUUUGCAUAUUUGGAAUGCGCCGCUAUAAACCCGGCUGGGAUUUUGCAGCAAUUUCUUAGAUGUAAAAAUGAGAUCUCUUUAGCAGCGGGCUGGGCACACUCUCUCCCUCUGUCUCUGCCUUGAGCCUGCUCUCCUUUCCCGGCUCCGGGCUGGAGUUCGGGCCCGGCCUAGGCGCUCAGCCGCCACGAGAUGGCGCACUUCCGAUCAAUGUCAAAGCCGCCGGGGAGCCGGGAACCCCAGCGCAUUUCUUGGCCUUUGUUCGCUUUAGAUACUAAGAGCGGCACGUUACAUUAUUUCACUUGUCCCGCUCUCCUUCGUAUCAAAAAAAGGGGGGCUCACCUUCAAGAGGUGGUUGGUGUUGUAAUUUAAAGCAACGCGCCUUCUCUAGGCCUCGCAGGCGUCGCGGCGCGGAGAAGCCAGCUUUCCCUUGGCAGUGAUUUCGGAAAUGUGUCAAGACGUCCAGUCUGCAGAGCCGGUCACCGCGGGGCACAGAGGUCCUCCAGCAGCGUGCGAAUGCCAAGGCUAAAGGGAGAGU